UAUUAUCAUUUAUGUGCCUUCCAUUUUAUAAAUACUCUUUCACCUUCUGAAGAAUCCAUUGAACCAAUUUAAAAAGAUAUUCACCAAAUCGCAUAGACCAGCAUGUUGACAUAAAGCUGACUUGUCAGACUAAAUAGGUGUAAUCACCCAGUAAUCAAAAUCUGACUGUUAUUUCAAUUCAGGCAAAAGUAAAUCAUACUCACCAAGUCCAACAGCUUGAAACUUAUGAUUCUGCGAAAUAUUUCUGUGCGUCAACUGUGUCAAAGCAAAAUACAGGCCCGCAACAUCUAUAAACCCGAAUACGGCCUUCAACAAUUCCUACAAAAGGGAAAGGUGCGUUUCAAGAUCAGCUAUUACCAGGCCCGCAACAUCUAUAAACCCGAAUAUGGCCUUCAACAAUUCCU
rnacentral:lncRNA from 1 species